UUAAAUAGUGGACACUUUUUUUUGUGGAGUCAUGGCCUUGUGAAUGCACAUUUCACUGCUCCCAGAUACACUUUUUCAUUCAGAGAAGGGGGGUGGGGGAGAGACACUAGCUUCCCCUGCGCUGUGCUGGGGCUCCGACCUGGGUCAUACACAUGGCAAGUUCCUGAAGCAAGAGUGUAGCAGAAGGUCAACUGGGAAUACCAAAGGAGACCACCUGGGACCACAACAAGAUGGGACUGGAACGACUUCAGGAACCC